rnacentral:lncRNA from 1 species
UAUAUGAUGCAUAUGUAUGAAUUGGUGCGGUGGACGCACAAGUAAGAAUUGAUUUAUGAUGCAUAUGUAUGAAUUGGUGCGGUGGACGCACAGGUAAGAAUUGAUUUAUGAUGCAUAUGUAUGAAUUGGUGCGGUGGACGCACAGGUAAGAAUUGAUUUAUGAUGCAUAUGUAUGAAAUGGUGCGGUGGACGCACAGAUGAGUAUUUAAUUACUGUUAUGAUGAUGAUGAUGAUAUAUAUAUUGAGCUCAAAUCCUGCACCAUGGUUUAGUGCUUAUAUAGUAUUCACCGCAUCGCACGCUCGCCUUGGAUCCAAGUAGAUGCUAGUCGUACAGUCCACGCGGAGUGGGUACGACAGACCAGUCGCGAGAGUGUUAGUGAGAUUCCGACUGGUGGGUGACCUUAGAUUAUGUGCACAGAUGAUUUAUGAGAAGCACUAGAGCGUAACUUGCGUUGCAGAAGGCCGGACGGGUCACAGAGGUGACUCCGGUAGAGUGAUAAUGAUAGAUUUUGAGCUCUAGGUUCAACCGUACAGGGCUAUUAGAGGGCCUACGGUUGAUUACUUUCUUGCACCUGAUAUGAUUAUGUUGAUGCAUUCAUACCUUAUUACUGUUGAGAUGAUGUGGCAUGGCAUAAUUAAUAUGAGAAAUGUUGAGAUGAUGUGGCAUGGCAUAACUGAUAUGAAAAAUGUUGAAAAAGUGAAAUGAAGUAUUGAGAAUAUAUAUGUAUAUUUAUAUUUUACAUUUCUGGGAAAGUAUACAGGUUUUACGGAGAGGGGUUACAACGUUAUGAGAAAUGUUUGGAUUUGGAAAAGAAUUGUUUUACUGACCCACUCAAUUUUGGUUUUGCGCCCCUCCAGGUUCAGGAAUCACAAAGGUGUGGUGACUACGAGGAAUACGGCGGGGUUCUGACAGAUUGACAAAAUUAGGACUCACCUUCGGGUGUAUCAACUUAUAAAUUGUAUCUUAAAGCUUCCGUACUGUGCAAAUGGUUACGUCACUCUCACGUGACGGCCAGCAUGCCCUCAUUCGGGACGGGGUGUGUCAGUUGGUAUCAGAGCAUGGUUGCAAUCUUGGACAUCUUGAGAAGUUUCUAGUGAAUUCUGUCAGAACUACACCGCCUCGUAGCACACCACGUAGUUAGAGGAAUUUAGUCUCCCUAAUAUAGCGGUUUUGGGGGGAAACUAUUACUAUGGUGAUUCAGUCUAUUGUCUAAAGGGGCAUUUUAAGAUGGGUUAUGAGUUGAAUUUGAAUCACUUAAGAGAAAUGAUGAACCUGAGGGAGCGAAGUAACGGUUUAACCAUUUGGAAAAGAUGUUUCGGAUUAUGCAAGUCAAAGGAAUCUUCCUUCUGACAAGGGGUCGAGAUGACUACCUGGUUUGAGUAUGAACGUGUAUCUUGAUGGAAGCAGGAGUAUUAAUUGUUGUCACCAGAGGAAUCAGUCGAUUUAAAAUUGUUUAAGGACUUGUUUAAGGAAAAGUUUAUCCCUCCGGCAUUUAUCGAUGGUAGUAAACAAGAGUUUACAAAUAUGAGACAAGGAAGGUGAUGAUCGAGGGAUAUUAUAGAAAGUUUUCAGACUUGCCUCGUUCCAUCCAGAUAUUGUUGUUAAUUUGGUGGAGGUGUUAUGUUGUUUUAAGCUGGGUGGCAAAAAGGGAAGUGGUAUUUUGGGUGACCACUAUCCAUUAUACUUCUUACCAGGAAUAUACGAGAUGCUGUUGAGUCUUGAGGACUCUGAGAACAUGAGCAACGAGAAUAAAGAAGAAUAAGAAAUGAAUGGGAAUUAAAAGAAGACGAUAAAGUUAAUGAUUCGUCAUAUCAAGGAGAUAGAAAGAUUCAGAGCUUCGAAAGAAGUGAAGCUAGAGUUAAUUCUUCCAGCUGAGGUUUUAAUGUCGCUGGUCAGAGUAAAAGUGAUGGAUAUACUGGUAAUCCCAGAUAUUUGAGACAAGGUGUCUCGAGUAAAGGAAAUGUACCUUGUGCAGCAGGUACAAAAUUAACACUUUGGGAAGUGUGAAAUUAAUGAAUGUGUUUAUGUGAACAGAGGGGACACAGAAUUGUGAAUCGUCCCUAGAAUCAGUUGUACUCAAUAAUUUUCCAUGAUAUCAUAGUGUCGAUUCAGAAGAGUUAUAAACUUAGUAGUUUGGUCGGAUUGACUGUGAGUACAGAGAGAUUUGAUGAGUUAUAUGUUCAGCCGUACAGACCAUGAGAAGUGGAUUCGAUUGACACAUGAGAAAUUGGUGAGUUAUAGGCUCGGCCGUACCGACCACGCGGAGUGGAUCCGGCUGACGUAUUAUUGAGAUAAGAGUUGAAUCAACCGUAUUGGUCAUUCUAGUUGACUUCGGCUGAUAUAUUUCUUAUUAUGUAUGUUAUUACCUAGAGAGUAGUAAAUAAAUGUAGUUGAGACGAGUGUAUGUAUUUUGCCUUGAGUAACAAAAUAGUAAUGUUAUAUCUUUGAGAGUGGUUGCCUACUUAUCGAGACAACGAUGAUUUAUCAGUAUUGCGGGCUGCAGACCGUAAUAUUAAUAACUCAUUCGUGGAUUCGUUAAGCAAGCAAACCGGUAGGUUAUUUUAUGUUAGUGUUGUACUUAUUUAGAAUGCUUAAUAAUAAUAGAAUAUAUAUUGUAUCAGUUAAUUAUGUUCCAUUAGAUUGGUUGGUUAUAAUUGUGACAAGACGGAAUGUUACGGGAAACCAGUACUUUCCAUCGAUCUGGAUGACCAGAGAUUACUUUUGUAAGUAUGCAAAGUGGAUUGAGUCAGGCCGUUAUUUAUGCUGUGAGAGCAAAGAGAUUGUUUUCGAAAGGCUGUCAAAAAUACUUAGCUCAUGUGGUGCUAAAUGAUGUUGUUUGGAGUAGUGUGAAUAAUGUCGAAAGAGUUAGACUUUUCUUGAUGUCUUCCUUGAAAGUAUACCUGGAUUGCCUUCAGGCAGAGAUGAGGUUCAUUAUUGAUUUGUUGCCAGGUAUAAAUUUAUAUUGGAGAUUGGUUCAGGAUGAGUUAAGGGAAUUGGAAAUUCAGUUGAAAGAAUUGGUUGAUAAAAGUUUCAUUCAACCUAGUACAACACUUUUGAGGAGCCCCAGUUUGUUGGUGAGAAAGAAAAUGGACUUAGAGAUUGUUCAUUGAUUAUAGACAAUGAAGUCGGGUAACGAUUAAGAACCGUUAUCUAUGGUGAUGUACUGAUGUUUAUUUAACCAGCUCAGAAGUAAUUGCGAAGAUUCAAAGAUUGAAUUGAGAUCUGGUUACUACCAAUUGAAUAUUAUAAGUGACGUUGAUCAUAAGAUGGUUUCUGGACUUGUUAUGAUCCUUAUAAAGUUUGGUGAUGCUAUGUGGAUACUCAUGCGGUUUUAUGAGUUGAUGGAUGAAGUAUUCCAAUAAUGCCUUGAUAAUUGAUAUCAUUUUCAUUGAAGAUAUUCUGGCAUAUUCUGAGCCAGAGCAGAGCAUGUAAACGUAUUAAGUCGGUAGAACAAAGAUUGGAAGAAUGUCGAUUGUAUGCUAAGUUUAGCAAAUGCGAAUGUUGGAUGAAUCAAGCAGCAUUUCUGGGAUAUGUUAUAUAUUCUUAAGGUAUUCAAGUGAAUCCUUAAAAGGUAACAGAAAUUAAAAUUUGGAACAACCACGAGUCGUAAUUGAGAUUUGGAAUUUCUUAGCUUACCAGGCUAUCUUGGAUGGUUGUGAAAGAUUUUUUCAGUCAUUGCUUUGUCAUUGACGAGACUGUUGAGAAAAGAGGUUAGGUAUGAGUGGGAAGGAAUUGUAAGCAAAGGAUUCAACAACUGAAGUAUUUCCACACUCAUGCACGUAUUUUGGUAUUCCCAGAGAAUAGUGGUAAUCAUAAAUUUUUAGUGAUGUUUCUUGAAUGGUAUUGGAGGCAUGUUGAUGCAAAUGUUAGGGUGAUUGCAUACGUUUCACGAUAAAUGGAAUCUCAUAAGAUGAAUUACCCUACUGGUGAUUUGGAAGUCACGAUUACCAUUCUUGCUGUGAAGUUAUGGAGACAUUAUAUUUUAGUGGGAAUGCAAGAUUUUUUUUUUUACGAAUCCAAAAAGUCUUCAAUAUCCAUUACUUGGAAGGAUUUUGAUAUGAGGCAGCGAAAGUGAAUUGUAUUGCUUAAUGAACAUGAUUGUACGAUCAGGGUGAUCGUAAAGUUUGUUCUAGCUGAAGCACUUGGUGAGAAGACUACAGUAAGAUUAAUAUCUGGCAUGUUUGCCAAGAGUAUCAUCUUGUGGAUUGAAAACCAACGGAAGAAAAAUUAAGGAUGGAAGAUCGAGAAGAAGUUAUACUUGUUAAGUAACAAGUUAGUACAUUUACUCCAGUGUUGAGUAACAACCUUUCCCAGACAGUGCAACACUACUUAUUUGUUUUAUGGAAAAGAGAAUUGGAUUACGGAACUGCUAAGUUUCUUAAGUAUGUUGGUUGUGCAGUUUCCGAAGUAACGCCAUAAGGACCAUGAAAUGUGUCACGUGAGUCAGUUUUUGAUGACUUGUGAAUGGAAUGUUUCUGGGUAGAGAAAGAUUCGAUCAAGAAAGAGUUUUAGUAGACCCUGAGACUAUGGAUGAGUCUCCUCAAAGUAUUCAGGUGAUUAAGUUAACCUGAAGUAACCAGGAAUGGCAAAAGAGAUCAACAGAUGGAUAUGCCACUAAUCGAGUGUGUAAGGUAAAUGGUUUGAUAUUUUUGGAAAAUUCACCACGAACAGAAAUGACGAGAAUUGGAAAAGAGACAAGAUAAGAUUUAGACACAUCAGACCAUUUUUUUUAUCACUAAAGGAAUCAAUAAAGUUGCAUACAAGUUUGUGAUGCCUUCAGAAUUGGCUAAGGCACAUAAUGUAUUUUGUGUUCGAUGCGUUGUCACUAAGUGGCAGGGUCGUUACAUGGGACUUUGGUGCAACUAUUGAGAAUUAAGCCGGAUAUGAUUGGUGAGGAACUAAUGUCGACGUUGGAUUGGAAAAAGAAGGUCCUAAGAAUUAAGACAGAGUAAGUAGUAAAAGCUUUGUGAAGGAAAUCAUUCAGUAGAAAAUUAUGUGGGAGAAAGAGAAUCGGAUGAGAUUUAUCCGAGGCUAUUGUAUGAGUAUAGAUGAUUUGGUUGGUUGCUGGAAUUUCGGGGACGAAAUUCUAUAAGGAGGGGAGAUUGUCACAGCCCGUCCCGGAAUUUUUAAUUCCGAGGACAUGAAAUUACGGAAAUGUCCCUAAUACGUGACUAAGGUAUAAUUUUCACGUUCGUUAUAUCUAAGCUCCAAAAAAAUUUGGUAAUUAGAGUGGAGACUUAGACUUAAAUUUUAUGAUGGAAUUUUAUGAAAUUGGGAUUGGUUUGGACAUGUGGGAUCCCCACACCUCAAAACCCUCCCCAUUUCCCGUAUACUGUCCUUCAUACUCUCUCUCUUCCUCAGACCUCACUCUCUCUCUCUCUCACCCUCUCGAACACACAGGCAACCACCCAAAACCACCUAAAACUUAUACCAACGUCGGAUUUAAAGCUACCAUGGCAUUCCUGAGGACUCCACGAUCACGUAGACACCAAUUUCAGGUAAGUUUUACUUCGGAAAACCUAGAUUCUAAACUCCCCGUGAAAGUGCACUGUUCAUGAUCUUCGAAUUGACUUUGUUUUAGGACAAUCCAAGCUCAUAGCAAGCUUGGUGAGGUCCCAAGGAAGCUCGGAGUGCUUCGUUGGAAGUUUUUGGACGUAAGAACACGGAGAUCGACAAGUUCAAAGUUUGGCCGGAGCUUUCGAGGCGUUUUCCGGCGAAUCCCCGGCGAGUUAGGAGUCAAGGUAGGUAUCAAUCUCUUCGUCUCGUCAAGUACUACAACUUUCCUUUUUGUUUCACUCAAUUUCGUUGAGUAUUGAAGAAGUUAUACGCAUUUGAAAAAUACCCAGUUUCCGGCGACCUCCGAGGCUUUCGAGGCAGUUUCCGGCCAAACCACGGCGAACUAGGUGUUGUGCAAGGUACCAUUAUCUUUUUCUCUUCAAGGGCUACAACUUUCGUUUUUGAAUCACUUGAUUUCGUUGAGAAAUGACAAAGUUAUGGCAAUUUGAAAAACUGCCCAGAAAACGGCCGCCGGAAAAACCAGUCCGGCGACCCAAGGAAGAAGAAGGUGCUACAGUAAAAAUAAAAAAUAAAAAUAAAAUUAUUUUAAAAAUAUAUGUCGACGUCCGUGACGUCGAGUAGAUCACUGUGGUAUAUUCAUAUACCUAAAUUGAACACCGUAUGAGAAAGUUAUUAAGGAUUGUUGGUUAGGUGUUCAAAUAACGUUUUAUAGUUUUCACAUUUAGGUGAAAAUGUGAAUUGAUGAUCCGACCGUUGGAUCAUCACCAAACCUUGAUACGUUGUAAUACGUAAUAUUUGAGGAUUAUUGGAACUUACAGAUUGGGAAUCCGAUUUGCGGAUCUUCCGGAAUUGGAAUUGUAAGUCCAUAAUAUAAAAUGUUAACCGUCACUUAGUUUUGGAAAUUGACGGAGAUCCGACCGUUGGAUGGUAAUGAAAUUUUAGGAUGUUAUCCUAGAGAUAUAUUGUGGACCUCUGGAAGUUAUGGAUUUAAAAUCUGAGGGGUGGAUCUUCCGGAUCAAUCUACGUAGUGACGUAUUUUAUAUAAGUUAUAUAUUCUAUCGAUAUGAAUUCUGAGGUUGGAUUUGAUUACUAUUCUAGGCGGCGAUCGUCGUGACGCCUUGUUGUGAGGUGCUAGGGAGUUGUUGGACGAACUCCAGGUGAGUGGGCAGUUUUGUUUUCCGUAUAUAUAUAUAUACUUAACGUUUUCCCAGAAAUUGAAAAAUGCAUGAAAUUAUGUUUUAAAAUGAAAUGCAUAUGAGUUAUGUGGAAAAACGGGAAGUGAAAUACCAUGCAUAGAAUUGAUAUGAAAAGUAUAUAGAAAUGUGAGUUGAAAUGCCAUGCAUGAAUUAAUAUAUGAUGCAUAUGUAUGAAUUGGUGCGGUGGACGCACAAGUAAGAAUUGAUUUAUGAUGCAUAUGUAUGAAUUGGUGCGGUGGACGCACAGGUAAGAAUUGAUUUAUGAUGCAUAUGUAUGAAUUGGUGCGGUGGACGCACAGGUAAGAAUUGAUUUAUGAUGCAUAUGUAUGAAAUGGUGCGGUGGACGCACAGAUGAGUAUUUAAUUACUGUUAUGAUGAUGAUGAUGAUAUAUAUUGAGCUCAAAUCCUGCACCAUGGUUUAGUGCUUAUAGUAUUCACCGCAUCGCACGCUCGCCUUGGAUCCAAGUAGAUGCUAGUCGUACAGUCCACGCGGAGUGGGUACGACAGACCAGUCGCGAGAGUGUUAGUGAGAGAUUCCGACUGGUGGGUGACCUUAGAUUAUGUGCACAGAUGAUUUAUGAGAAGCACUAGAGCGUAACUUGCGUGCAGAAGGCCGGACGGGUCACAGAGGUGACUCCGGUAGAGUGAUAAUGAUAGAUUUUGAGCUCUAGGUUCAACCGUACAGGGCUAUUAGAGGGCCUACGGUUGAUUACUUUCUUGCACCUG